UGGGGAAUAUUGGACAAUGGGCGCAAGCCUGAUCCAGCCAUGCCGCGUGAGUGAUGAAGGCCCUAGGGUUGUAAAGCUCUUUCACCGGUGAAGAUAAUGACGGUAACCGGAGAAGAAGCCCCGGCUAACUUCGUGCCAGCAGCCGCGGUAAUACGAAGGGGGCUAGCGUUGUUCGGAUUUACUGGGCGUAAAGCGCACGUAGGCGGACUAUUAAGUCAGGGGUGAAAUCCCGGGGCUCGACCCCGGAACUGCCUUUGAUACUGGGAGUCUUGAGUAUGGUAGAGGUGAGUGGAAAUCCGAGUGUAGAGGUGAAAUUCGUUGAUAUUCGGGGGAACACCAGUGGCGAAGGCGGCUCACUGGACCAUUACUGACGCUGAGGUGCGAAAGCGUGGGGAGCAAACAGG
rnacentral:rRNA from 1 species